rnacentral:lncRNA from 1 species
GGAUUUGCAUGACAAACCUCUCAUUUUACAUGAAGUGGCCAGCCAUCAUGUUGUUGUAGACAAUAUGAGCACUUGAUAUCCAUAAUUCAUGGUACAAAUUGAUAAUGGGUUAGGUAAAUGUUCCAUGAUAAUGGAUUAGGUAAAUAUUCCAUGAUAAUGGGUUAGGUAAAUGUUCCAUAAUAAUGGUUUAGGUAAAUGUUCCAUGAUGGGCAUUUCAUGUCUUUUGUAUUAAAAAAUUAAAUGGAUGAAAUAUUAAAUUUUAUUAAAAGAAAAAGGGGUGAAAAGAACAAAGUUUUGUCCAUCUUUGUUCAUCAUAGCCUAAAGUUAGAGAAGAGAAAGGAGAGGAGAAAGCUCUUUAAUGUUCGGUCACUUGGGGAAGAAAAUUGAAGGUAAGUUCAUGGUAGUUUGCUUCUAUCUUGAUGUUCAUGAGUUCUUCUUGAUUCGACCUUAACUCUGGAAGCAUAUUUUGGUUUUUAGCUGUGUUGUGAGCAUUUAGUCAUGAAUUAAAAUCAAGGAAAUGGUUGUUGUUACAUGUUCUUUUGAUGAAAAAAAUGGAAGAUAGGUGAAGUUGAGCCAAACAAAUGAGCAUGCAUGUGCCUUAGAUGUUAAAGGGAAAAAUCAGCUAACAUGUUGUGCUUUAAAAUGAUGAAAUGGAGAUUAUACUUAAGUAAAAUCAUAGAUAUGUGAUGAUUGAUUGGUGAUAUACAUGUUUAAAUAACAAGCAUGCAAGUUAGGUGUGAAAGAGUGAUUUGGUAAUAAAUCUGCUUGGGACAACAGCAGUAACGUGACUUUGGAAAAUCACCAUAAAUUGUGGGAGAUGAGUUAGAAGCUGCAUAAAUUAUGUAAUUAAAGAUUAAUGAGUCUAGUUUCAAAUGGAAUAAACGAGAACAUAUUUUGAAUUCUGUACAAUGAGAAAUUUUAUUCCUAAUGAAUAGUGGUCAGAUUAGUCAAACAGUGAAACAUGGGAAACUUUGAGAAAAAUCUGGUAUUGAUUGGCUAAACCAAAAAUUCUGAAAAUUUUAUGGAUAGAAGAUAUAUGAGUCUAUUUUCAAGGAAAAUUAACGGAACUUGAUUUGGAGUUUCUUAGCUCCAGUUAUAAAUGAUUUAGUGACUGUUGCUCAGGAAGACAGCUUGUAGUGAAAUUAUGAUUAUGUGGUAAACAUUGACAAAAAUUUGUUAAUGAGUUGCUUAUUGUUUUCUUAUAAGCUUACUAUGAUCUGUAGGUGUGGUUGGCCGAAUAUUGUAAGGGGUUAAUACGUAGUUUGUAUUUGAAUAGUUAGAUUAACGUGUUAGUAAUCCAAUUGUAGGCGGUUCGUGUGUGGAUCUCGUCAGCAUAUCGUCGCAAAUAGGUGCGUAACUAACACCCUCUUUCUUAGUCUGGAUCGGCAAAAGUCGAAAAGUCGAAAUGCCGAAAACUGGUAUUUUGUAGAUUUGCGAGUGUGCGAAUGCUCGUGAGGUAAAUCGAUUAAUAUUUUUGGUAAGCUGCAAAAUUUGGACUGCAAAGUGCAUGAUUUCUGUGCCCUCGAUAUUUUUGGGCUUAAUGGGCCAAAGUUGGAAUGAUGGGCCAACGGGCCCAAUUCGGUAAGAACCCUCGGUACGUGAUUCUGUUAGUACGUGAAAAGUAGGAAUAUGCAUGAAAAACCCUAAAAUAGAUAAAUUACUGAAAUACCUUUAAAAGUGAAAAAUUUACAGUUUUUCCCCUAAUAGAUAAAUUACCGAAAUACCCCUAGGGUUAAAUUGACCUAAAUGCAUGUUUGACUGUUAUUAUUUACUGCAUGCCAUGUUGUUAUUAUCUGAUGCAUGGUAUUGGGAUAUUGACGGAAGAAGUACUGAAAGUGGCUUGUCCACGUACUGGAGGCUUUGUCUCAAUUUACUGUUAACUGAGCAGCAAGGCUGCAACUGUGGAGUGUUGGACUAGGUGGGUUGAGCUAUUCCGCACAUGGAGUGUAGGGCUGGUACGGGUGGAGUGUAGUAGUUGGUGGGUUGAGUAGUCUCCCCAAAUGGGCUUGCAUAUGUUAUUGAUGUUGCAUGUAUUUUAAAAUGGGCCUAUGGGCCAUACUGUUAUCUGAAUAAGGGGCUAAGGCCCAGUUUAUUGUAAUCUGAAAAGGGCUCUGGUCUAGUACCACUGUUACCUGAAUGGGCUUAGGCCCAAUAGGCUUGAGCUGACUUGGGCUUUGAAUGGGUUUUCCUUACACACUGAGUUUCCCCAAACUCACCCUUUUUAUUUUUAUCCACGCAAGUAAUCCCCAACCAUAGUGGGCUUGGAGCUGUGAGGGAAUUCGGAGUGGCCGCCCGCUCUGAAAGUUUGAUUUUCUUCUGGUGAACUAGACAUCCUUUUAUUUACGUUUGAAGUUUUGGGUUUUUAAAUGUAAUAAGGCCGCUUAAUUAUUUUUGAUGGUUUUAAUAUGUAUAUCUAAGAUAAGUAUUACUUAUUUUAACUGUUGAAGUUGGAAAGCUUUAGGGCGCGUUUUCAAAAACAACAAUUGAUUUCAAAAUACCACGAUGACAAGCAAAGCUUCCGCAAUGAAAGUAUUUUCCAAAAUUAAUCACUUUUCCUAAAAAGGACUUAAUCAAAUCGGUUUCCUAGAAAUAUACAUGGCGUUAAGGUGUGGUAAUAGCGGUGUGCAUGUCUAGGAUUGAAUCUGAAGGGAGCUUGGUACUUAAGCAGUCCGAUGGACUCACCUCCUCUUUUUCGGUUUCUUACCUGGUGCACAGCUUCCAUCCACUUUAACCUAUAAUCAUCUUUUAAAACACUAAGUAAGUUUUUCUAGAUCAAUAAUAUAAAAUAUUUUGAACGCUUCGAUGUGGUAUGUCGGAUCCAGCCAUAACGUCUGGAUCGGGUUUGGGGUGCUAAAUUUAGUGGUAUCAGAGCCUAGGUUGCAACAACUCGGCUGUGGAAUUGGUUUACAAAAACAAAGAUUUUCGAAAACGAAAAUUUUAUAAAGAAUGCGAAAAACUCGAUUUUUAAAAUUUAGAUCUUUAGAAGGUGGCAUUUCGAAUCUCCGGCUCAAGUCUGUAAGUAUUACUUUGAACUUUUCUGAAUAUUUUCCUGAAUUAUUUGUCUGUAUUGAAACCCUAUUAGGAUACUCUAGAUAGGAUGAUACUGAAACCAUAGGAAAAUCUGAUAAGAGACUGAAACUCUAGCUAGACUUCGAUUCUGCGAAAACAAACUCUGAACUACUGUCUGAUUCAUAAAACAUCUGUAAUAAAUAUUGGAAUAUUGAAUCAAUGCAUAAAAAUUCGUAAUCAAUAUAAUACGAUAUGAGUACAAGAGCCGUUCGUGGAAGAGGCCGUGAAUGGGGCCGAGGAAGUGCUUGAGCGAGACAUAUACCGGCGGUGGAUGCACCGGUACCACCGCAACAGAGGUAGAGUCUCAUGACCGCGGUGCCGAGGAUGAUGCCCUGUCACAGGCAAUGCUUCGUGUUCUGGAAAGGGUUACCGAGGCAAGUAAGGGCAAUGGAGUUCGGGGAUUUAUUUCUGAAUGACUUCGGGCUAACGGAGCGGAGAUCUUUAGGGGCGUGUCUGGUAUAGCCCCGAAUGUAGCGGAAUAUUGGUUAGAGGCCACAGAACGGAUUAUGGACAACUUGGACUGCUCUGAGGAGAUUGUGAGUGGGGUAUCUGUACUAAGUCCUUUGGGUCACUUGGUUAGAGUAGACAAACUGUAUAGGGAUGUACCCUUAGAAACUCAAGGUAGGAUUUUCCCUGGAGAUCUGAUGGAGUUACCGUUCGGAGAGUUUGAUCUCAUUUUAGGAAUGGACUGGCUUGUUAAGCAUAAGGUCAUCCUGGAUUGUGCUACUAAACGAAUGGUGUUAAGGACCACAAAGGAUGAGGAGGUUAUGGUGAUAGGUGAGCGAAGAGAUUAUUUGUCCAAUGUGGUGUCAACAUUAAGAGCCGAGAAGUGGAUUCGGAAAGGUUGUGAGGCCUAUUUGGCAUUUGUAAGUUAGUUGGAAGAGGAGGGACUGACAGUGGAUAAGGUUAGGACCGUAAAGGAGUUCCAAGAUAUUUUUCCGAAGGAGCUUCCAGGAUUGCCUCCGAACCGAGAAGUGGAGUUUGGAAUCGACUUAUUGCCUGGAACGGCACCAGUGUCUAUCGCACCGUAUAGAAUGGCACCGAAGGAGUUGGUGGAGCUAAAGGCACAAAUUCAAGAGUUGUUGGAUAGGGGCUUCAUUAGGCCAAACGUGUCUCCAUGGAAAGCACCGGUGCUAUUCGUGAAAAAGAAGGAUGGUACGAUGCGGAUGUGCAUUGAUUAUCGCCAGUUGAACAAACUGACGAUUAAGAAUAAGUAUCCACUGCCAAGAAUUGAUGAUCUGUUCGACCAGCUUAGAGGAGCUUUUGUAUUUUCCAAGAUCGACCUUCGAUCUGGAUAUCAUCAGUUAAGAUUCAAGGAGGCAGAUAUCCAUAAGACGGCAUUCAGGACUCGGUAUGGUCAUUACGAGUUUCUGGUUAUGCCAUUUGGACUGACGAACACUCCUGCAGCAUUUAUAGAUCUGAUGAAUUGUGUGUUCCAACCAUUUUUAGAUCAGUUCGUAGUCGUCUUUAUUGACGAUAUCCUGGUAUAUUCUGAAACUGAAGCGAAACAUGAUGACUAUCUCCGUAUAGUGCUGCGAGUGUUAAGGGAGAAGGAACUCUUUGUGAAGUUCAGCAAGUGUGAAUUUUGGUUGAGGGAGGUAACCUUCUUAGGACAUGUGGUCUCUACCGAAGGGAUUAAGGUGGACCCUCGAAAGAUUGAAGCAAUUUUGGAGUGGAAGCCACCUCGGAUGGUGUUAGAAAUUCGAAGUUUCCUAGGGUUGGCAGGAUACUACAGAAGGUUUGUGGAAGGUUUUUCUGUGAUGGUAGCACCUUUGACAAAACUCAUAAGGAAAGGAGUACCGUUUGUAUGGACUAAGAAGUAGCAGGAAGCUUUUAAGAAGUUGAAGAAAGUUCUGACUGAAGCACCUGAGUUGAUUCAGCCGGAGUUUAGAAAGGAUUUUAGUGUGUACAGUGACGCAUCAAACGUGGGUUUGGCCUGCGUGUUAAUGCAAGAGGGUAAGGUGGUUGCAUAUGCAUCACGACAGCUUAAGCCUCAUGAGGGGAACUAUCCGACUCAUGAUUUAGAGUUGGUAGCAGUGAUAUUUGCACUUAAGAUUUGGAGACAUUACUUGUACGGAGAAAGGUGUAUUAUAUACACUGACUAUAAGAGUCUUAAGUAUUUGUUGACUCAGAAGGAGCUGAACCUUAGGUAAAGGAGAUGGAUUGAGUUACUUAAGGAUUAUGACUGUUCGAUCGAGUAUCACCUAGGCAAGGCUAAUGUGGUAGCCGAUGCUCUAAGUCGUAGAGCUGUAUCUGAUCUGAUAGCAAUGUUUGCUCACCUGAGUUUGUAUGAUGAUGAAAGUCUUUUGGCUGAGUUGCAAGUGAGGCCAACCUGGGUGGAUUAGAUUAAGGAAAAGCAGUUGAACGAUGAGUCUUUGGUCGCUCGUUUCCAACAAGUUAAGGAAGGGGAAACUUCUGAGUUUGGGUUAAAUGGCGAAGGAGUUUUGUGUUUCCGAGGAAGAAUUUGUGUUCCGAAGGACUCUGAUUUGAGGCAGAAAAUAUUGAAGGAAGCUCAUGGAGGAUUUUGUGCCAUGCACCCUGGAGGUAACAAGUUGUAUCACGACUUACGAGAAUUGUACUGGUGGCCUGGACUUAAAUGAAAAGUAACGGAGUUUGUAGGGAAAUGUCUGACAUGCCAGCAAGUGAAAGCUGAGUAUCAAUUACCCUCUGGACUAUUACAGUCAGUGAAGAUACCACUUUGGAAGUGGGAGAGGGUAACUAUGGACUUUGUGAGUGGGCUGCCCUUGACACCAUCAAAGAAAGACUCGGUGUGGGUGAUUGUGGAUAGGUUGACCAAAUUGGCCCAUUUCAUACCUGUUCGUACUGACUUUACCCUUAAAAAGUUAGCCAAGUUGUAUGUGGCGGAGAUUGUGCGACUUCAUGGAGUCCCAGUUUCAAUUAUUUCUUAUCGAGAUCCCAGAUUUACAUCUCGGUUUUGGCAAAGGUUGCAUGAGGCGUUGGGGACGCGAUUGAAUUUUAGUACGACUUUCCAUCCCCAGACUAAUGGUCAAUCGGAAAGGGUUAUUCAGAUUCUGGAGGACAUGUUGAGGGGAUGCAUGAUUGACUUUCGAGGUAGUUGGGAGGAUUACUUACCGUUGGCAGAAUUUGCGUACAAUAACAAUUACCAGGCGAGUAUUCAAAUGGCACCGUAUGAAGCACUGUAUGGACGAAGGUGUCGUACAGCUAGUUGUUGGACCGAACUAGGAGAGUUACAAGUUCUUGGACCAGAGUUGGUAGCUGAUACUGAGGAUAAGGUCAGAAUAAUUAGGGACCAGUUAAAAGAAGCAUCUGAUAAGAAAAAGUCGUAUACAGAUUUGAAGCGUAAAAAGAUUGAGUACUCAGUAGGUGAUAUGGUCUUCUUAAAGGUUUCUCCUUGGAAGAAGAUAUUAAGGUUCGGUAAGAAGGGCAAGUUGAGUCCGCGGUUCAUUGGGCCUUAUCGGGUUUUGAAGCGAGUAGGCCCAGUGGCUUAUCAGUUGGAAUUCCCUCCAGAGUUAGACAGGAUUCACGUUGUUUUUCACGUCUCCAUGUUGAGGCGUUAUCGUGCUGACCCUGCUCAUGUCCUACCAGUUGCAGAAAUUGAAGUUCAGACUGAUUUGACCUUUGAGAAGGAGCCUGUGCAAAUAUUGGCUCGAGAUGUUAAGGUUCUCAGAAGGAAAUCUGUCCUGUUAGUGAAAGUACUUUGGCGUAAUCAUGGAAGGGAAAAAGCUACUUGGGAAUCAGAAGAAACUAUGCGUCAACAAUACCCUCAACUAGUUGGAUCAGGUAAAUUUCGAGGACGAAAUUUUUUUAAGGAGGGUAGAGUUGCAACGCCCUAAUUUUCGGGAAUUCUGUGAAUGUUGGCAAAAUUUCAUGCUUUGAUUUUGUCAUUUGUGAGUGAAAUUAUGAAAUAGGAACUAUGUGAAAAUGUUUGAAAAUGCUAUAGGCUAAAUUGAAGUGGCCAAAUAAAUAGGAGUGCAAAAUAGGAGGAUUUGCAUGACAAACCUCCCAUUUUACAUGAAGUGACAAGCCAUCAUGUUGUUGUAGACAAUAUGAGCACUUGAUAUCCAUAAUUCAUGGUACAAAUUGAUAAUGAGUUAGGUAAAUGUUUCAUGAUAAUGGAUUAGGUAAAUAUUCCAUGAUAAUGGGUUAGGUAAAUGUUCUAUGAUAAUGGAUUAGGUAAAUAUUCCAUGAUAAUGGGUUAGGUAAAUGUUCCAUGAUAAUGGUUUAGGUAAAUGUUCCAUGAUGGGCAUUUUAUGUCUUUUGUAUUAAAGAAUUAAAUGGAUGAAAUAUGAAAUUUUAUUAAAAGAAAAAGGGGUGAAAAGAACAAAGUUUUGUCCAUCUUUGUUCAUCAUAGCCUAAAGUUAGAGAAGAGAAAGGAGAGGAGAAAGCUCUUGAAUAUUCGGUCACUUGGGGAAGAAAAUUGAAGGUAAGUUCAUGGUAGUUUGCUUCUAUCUUGAUGUUCAUGAGUUCUUCUUAAUUCUACAUUAACUCUUGAAGCAUAUUUUGGUUUUUAGUUGUGUUGUGAGCAUUUAGUCAUGAAUUAAAAUGAAGGAAAUGGUUGCUGUUUCAUGUUCUUUUGAUGAAAAAAUGGAAGAUAGGUGAAGUUGAGCCAAACAAAUGAGCAUGCAUGUGCCUUAGAUGUUAAAGGGAAAAAUCAGCUAACAUGUUGUGCUUUAAAAUGAUGAAAUGGAGAUUAUACUUAAGUAAAAUCAUAGAUAUGUGAUGAUUGAUUGGUGAUAUACAUGUUUAAAUAACAAGCAUGUAAGUUAGGUGUGAAAAAGUGAUUUGGUAAUAAAUCUGCUUGGGACGGCAGUAGUAACGUGACUUUGGAAAAUCACCAUAAAUUGUGGGAGAUGAGUUAGAAGCUGCAUAAAUUAUGUAAUUAAAGCUUAAUGAGUCUAGUUUCAAAUGGAAUAAACGAGAACAUAUUUUGAAUUCUGUACAAUGAGAAAUUUUAUUCCUAAUGAAUAGUGGUCAGAUUAGUCAAACAGUGAAACAUGGGAAACUUUGAGAAAAAUCUGGUAUUGAUUGGCUAAACCAAAAAUUCUGAAAAUUUUAUGGAUAAAAGAUAUAUGAGUCUAUUUUCAAGGAAAAUUAACGGAACUUGAUUUGGAGUUUCGUAGCUCCAGUUAUAAAUGAUUUAGUGACUGUUGCUCAGGAAGACAGCUUGGAGUGAAAUUAUGAUUAUGUGGUAAACAUUGACAAAAAAUUGUUAAUGAGUUGCUUAUUGUUUUCUUAUAAGCUUACUAUGAUCUGUAGGUGUGGUUGGCCGAAUAUUGUAAGGGGUUAAUACGUAGUUUGUAUUUGAAUAGUUAGAUUAACGUGUUAGUAAUCCAAUUGUAGGCGAUUCGUGUGUGGAUCUCGUCAGCAUAUUGUCGCAAACAGGUGUGUAACUAACACCCUCUUUCUUAGUCUGGAUCGGCAAAAGUCGAAAAGUCGAAAUGCCGAAAACCAGUAUUUUGUAGAUUUGCGAGUGUGCGAAUGCUCGUGAGGUAAAUCGAUUAAUAUUUUUGGUAAGCUGCAAAAUUUGGACUGCAAAGUGCAUGAUUUCUGUGCCCUCGAUAUUUUU